GGUGAUUUGGUUGUCGCCUAGAUCUCUCCUUUAGAGACAUGAAGGGAUGACCCUCUGAGCUAUCAUAUAAGACAUCGCACAGGAGAAUGAAGACGACCUCGGAAGAGACCCUAAGCCAGAACCACCAAACUGCCCUUAAAUUCCUAGCCCCACAACAGAGACCAGCAGAGAUAGUAAAGGAUUAUUAUUAUUUUCAGCCACUCAGUUGUGUGGUGAUUUGUUAGGCAUCAAUAGAUAACUAAUGCACUGCCAUUUCAUUGGGAAGACUGUCUUUCUAUUCUCUGGCCUAAGAAGAAGAAGAGGAAAAAUACUUGUCAUCUUCUGUAAUAAAUUUUCUCUUCUCUGAA